UGGGGAAUAUUGCACAAUGGGGGAAACCCUGAUGCAGCGACGCCGCGUGGGGGAUGACGGCCUUCGGGUUGUAAACCUCUUUCAGUAGGGAAGAAGCCUUCGGGUGACGGUACCUGCAGAAGAAGUACCGGCUAACUACGUGCCAGCAGCCGCGGUAAUACGUAGGGUACAAGCGUUGUCCGGAAUUAUUGGGCGUAAAGAGCUCGUAGGUGGUCUGUCACGUCUGCUGUGGAAACGCAAGGCUCAACCUUGCGCGUGCAGUGGGUACGGGCGGACUAGAGUGCAGUAGGGGAGUCUGGAAUUCCUGGUGUUGCGGUGAAAUGCGCAGAUAUCAGGAGGAACACCGGUGGCGAAGGCGGGACUCUGGGCUGUAACUGACGCUGAGGAGCGAAAGCAUGGGGAGCGAACA
rnacentral:rRNA from 1 species